GACGUAGGGUGCGAGCGUUAUUCGGAGUGAUUGGGCGUAAAGGGUGCGCAGGCGGUAUAUUAAGUCAACUGUUAAAUUUCCCGGCUCAACCGGGAGCGUGCAGUAGAAACUGGUAUGCUAGAGGAUGAGAGAGAAGAGCGGAAUUCUCGGAGUAGCGGUAAAAUGCGUAGAUCUCGAGAGGAACACCGAUGGCGAAGGCAGCUCUUUGGCUCAUUUCUGACGCUCAGGCACGAAAGCGUGGGGAGCAAACAGG
rnacentral:rRNA from 1 species